rnacentral:tRNA from 1 species
GCCCUGGUUGUGCAGUGGUUAAGUGUUCGGCUGCUAACUGAAAGGUUGGUGGUUCGAACCCAUCCAGUGGCU